UCAAUAAGCGGAGGAAAAGAAACUAACAAGGAUUCCCCUAGUAGCGGCGAGCGAAGCGGGAAGAGCUCAAAUUUGUAAUCUGGCACCUUCGGUGUCCGAGUUGUAAUCUCGAGAAGUGUUUUCCGCGCCAGACCGCAUAUAAGUCUGUUGGAAUACAGCGUCAUAGGUGGUGACAACCCCGUACAUGAUGCGGAUGCCUGGUGCUCUGUGAUACACUUUCGAAGAGUCGAGUUGUUUGGGAAUGCAGCUCAAAUUGGGUGGUAAAUUCCAUCUAAAGCUAAAUAUUGGCGAGAGACCGAUAGCGAACAAGUACCGUGAGGGAAAGAUGAAAAGCACUUUGGAAAGAGAGUUAAAAGUACGUGAAAUUGUUGAAAGGGAAACGCUUGAAGUCAGACUUGCGUAUUGGAGUUCAGCCGCAAGGUGUAUUCUUCAGUUUGCAGGCCAGCAUCAGUUUUUGGGGGUACAAAAGGGUGAGAGGAAGGUAGCAGUCUCGGCUGUGUUAUAGCCUCUCACUGGAUGUAUCCUUGGGGACUGAGGAACGCAGCGCACUUUUUGCAAGCCUCUCGAGGCUUUUUGCGCUUAGGAUGCUGGUGGAAUGGCUUUAAACGACCCGUCUUGAAACAC
rnacentral:rRNA from 1 species